GCACUGGUCGUUCAGCGGCAAGGACACCGCAUUCGUAAUGCGGGAACGUGGGUUCGAGUCCCACCCGGUGCU
rnacentral:tRNA from 1 species